rnacentral:tRNA from 1 species
ACAUCUGUGGUGUAGGGGUUAUCAUCUGAGCUUCCCAAAUUGGAUCUGCUCAGGACCCGGGUUCGAAUCUCGGCGGAUGUA